rnacentral:rRNA from 1 species
UACGGGGGGUGCGAGCGUUGUCCGGAAUCACUGGGCGUAAAGGGCGCGUAGGUGGUUUGAUAAGGGUGUGGUGAAAGCCCGGGGCUCAACCCCGGGUCUGCCGUGCCGACUGUCAAACUCGAGGGCUGUAGAGGCAGACGGAAUUCCGGGUGUAGCGGUGGAAUGCGUAGAGAUCCGGAGGAAGACCGGUGGCGAAGGCGGUCUGCUGGGCAGUUUCUGACACUGAUGAGCGACAGCGUGGGGAGCAAACAGG